rnacentral:lncRNA from 1 species
CUGGCUAAGGUGACAAGAAAGGCAUUACACCAGGACAAUCUUCGUAUGAGAACGCAUAUCAUUUCUACAGUUUGAAGACACAAAGGUAGACGACCUAUAUAAAAUAGCCAUUCUAUCAACGAGAUGAGCCUUUUUCUAGUCGCCUUUCUUCAAAUGGCUGCUGCAAUUUCUGCGGCGAAUCUUCAGGAUCUAAUCGACGCCUUGAAUACGAAUGAAAGAACCUGGAUAUAUCAACGCAGUUAUGUUGAAUAUAAAGGCAGUGAAUACGUGACUUGCGCAUAUUACCGAAAACUUGAACUAAACCUUACUAAUUACGAGUUCUUCAAAGACUUCAUGUUGUGUUCGCAAGCGCACCAACGCCAUCUUUAUGCUGAAUUGGGUGAUGCUGGCCCAGAUGGCCCGUACAUGGGUGUAAGUACCUGGCCAGGAGCUGAGGUGACGUCAUACACGUUACGAUAUUGGAACGCCACUGAAGCCUGCGCUGUCUACACAUUGGACAAGUACAACACACUUGACUGCGAGCUCCAUGUAAGGCACCACAAUAGGAGAGCAGUGUUCAACUACUGCGAACUUUAUUACAGGGUGUAUUGUCACGGAAAAAUAUUCCAGAUUUAUUCGGAAGCCUGCCAAAAUUAAAAGAACGUGCUCACGAA